UACGUAGGGCGCAAGCGUUGUCCGGAAUUAUUGGGCGUAAAGAGCGUGUAGGCGGCUCAGUAAGUCCGCUGUGAAAGUCCAGGGCUCAACCCUGGAAUGCCAGUGGAAACUGUUGAGCUAGAGUCCGGAAGAGGCGAGUGGAAUUCCUGGUGUAGCGGUGAAAUGCGCAGAUAUCAGGAAGAACACCCGUGGCUAAGGCGGCUCUCUAGUACGGUACUGACGCUGAGACGCGAAAGCGUGGGGAGCGAACAGG
rnacentral:rRNA from 1 species